rnacentral:rRNA from 1 species
GACGAACGCUGGCGGCGUGCCUAAUACAUGCAAGUCGAGCGAUCAAGGUUGGUGCUUGUUCCUACUGGAUGAGCAGCGGACGGGUGAGUAACGCGUGGGUAAUCUGCCUUUGAGCGUGGGACAACUUCUGGAAACGAAUGCUAAUACCGCAUAAUAACUUGAAACACAUGUUUCAAUUGUGAAAGACGCAAUUGCUUUACCCAAUGAUGAUACCGCGUUGUAUUAGCCUGUUGGUUAGGUUAAGGCCUACCAAAGCGAUGGAAGCGUGCCGGACUUGAGAGGUGGUUGGCCACAAUGGGAAUGGGAAACGGCCCAAGACCCUUCGGGAAGCAGCAGGAGGGGAUCUUCGGCAAAGGAGGAAAGGCUGAACGAGCAACGGCGCGGGAGGGGAGGAGGGUUUCGGAUCGGUAAACUCUGUUGGUAGGGAAGAACGUUGGUGAGAGUGGAAAGCUCAUCAAGUGACGGUAACUAACCAGAAAGGGACGGCUAACUACGUG